UCUCCUCUCUUUUCUUUCUUUUCUUUCUUUUUAUUUUUCAAAAUGGGAGAGGAAGGAGGAGAGGAGAAGAAGACUUUGGAAAAGAAACCUUGUGUUGUUGUUGAUUGUUCUUUUUCUUCUUUUAUGACAAAGAGAGAAAAAAAAAGUUUGGUUCAACAACUUCAACAUAUUUAUGGUCAUAAUAAAUUGAAUUCUUUUCCUUUUCAUCUCCUUUUUUCGAGCGUAGAUGAAGAAACGGUGAUUACUCUUCUCAAAAAUCAUGGACAUUUAUGGAAAGAAG
rnacentral:RNase_P_RNA from 13 species